rnacentral:rRNA from 1 species
GUAUCAGCAGCCGCGGUAAUACGUAGGGUGCAAGCGUUAUCCGGAAUUAUUGGGCGUAAAGAGCUCGUAGGCGGUUUGUCGCGUCUGCUAUGAAAUCCCGAGGCUCAACCUCGGGCCUGCAGUGGGUACGGGCAGACUGGAGUGCGGUAGGGGAGAUUGGAAUUCCUGGUGUAGCGGUGGAAUGCGCAGAUAUCAGGAGGAACACCGAUGGCGAAGGCAGAUCUCUGGGCCGUAACUGACGCUGAGGAGCGAAAGGGUGGGGAGCGAACAGGCUUAGAUACCCUGGUAGUCCGCCCCGUAAACGUUGGGAACUAGUUGUGGGGUCCUUUCCACGGAUUCCGUGACGCAGCUAACGCAUUAAGUUCCCCGCCUGGGGAGUACGGCCGCAAGGCUAAAACUUAAAGAAAUUGGCGG